AUGGACGCUGGCGGCGUGCCUAAUACAUGCAAGUCGAGCGAACGGACGAGAAGCUUGCUUCUCUGAUGUUAGCGGCGGACGGGUGAGUAACACGUGGAUAACCUACCUAUAAGACUGGGAUAACUUCGGGAAACCGUAGCUAAUACCGGAUAAUAUUUUGAACCGCAUGGUUCAAAAGUGAAAGACGGUCUUGCUGUCACUUAUAGAUGGAUCCGCGCUGCAUUAGCUAGUUGGUAAGGUAACGGCUUACCAAGGCAACGAUGCAUAGCCGACCUGAGAGGGCGAUCGGCCACACUGGAACUGAGACACGGUCCAGACUCCUACGGGAGGCAGCAGUAGGGAAUCUUCCGCAAUGGGCGAAAGCCUGACGGAGCAACGCCGCGUGAGUGAUGAAGGUCUUCGGAUCGUAAAACUCUGUUAUUAGGGAAGAACAUAUGUGUAAGUAACUGUGCACAUCUUGACGGUACCUAAUCAGAAAGCCACGGCUAACUACGUG
rnacentral:rRNA from 1 species